UACGAAGGGUGCAAGCGUUACUCGGAAUUACUGGGCGUAAAGGGUGCGUAGGUGGUCGUUUAAGUCCGUUGUGAAAUCCCUGGGCUCAACCUGGGAAUGGCAGUGGAUACUGGACGGCUAGAAUGCGGUAGAGGGUAGUGGAAUUCCCGGUGUAGCAGUGAAAUGCGUAGAGAUCGGGGAGGAACACCAGUGGCGAAGGCGGCUACCUGGACCAGCAUUGACACUCAAGCACGAAAGCGUGGGGAGCAAACAGG
rnacentral:rRNA from 1 species